CAUCAGUCAGGACGUACCUGUCUGGACCUGACCUGAUUACGGAGAAAACUGUGACCCAGCGUGUAAUCUGUGGAUCACGGCAGAUCUGUCUGCUUCUGCUGGGAGGCCAACUGGAGCCUGAUUUGCAUGGUGAGCCUUACAUUGUGAUUAGACGACAGAAACCCCGGGCAGAGUUGUCUGUCAGCCUCUAUCUGGCCUCUGCUCAGAGCACUUUGAUUAGAAAUGUUCGAUCGUGAGCAUGAUGGAUGUGAGAAGACACUGGAGAGGCUUGUGGGGUGGAUUGAGCU